UAUAUUUAUUUUUUGUGUAUGGAUAUUUUGCCUGCCCAUAUGUCUGUAGACUUCAUGCAUGCAGUAUCCACAGAGGCCGGAAGAGGGUGUCAGAUUCCUUAGGACUCGAGUUACAGACGGUUGUGAACCCCUGUAGGUGCUGGGAAUCAAAUUUGGUCUGGGAUAGCAGUCAACAAGUACUCAUAACCCCUGACCAGCUCACUAACCACAAAUCUAGCAAUAUUUUUGUUAGUAUUAUUUAACUUGUGUAUACAUUUAAUUUUUUUCUCUGAGAUGAUGCAUCCAUUUUAUUUCAUGUUUUUUCUUUGUUUUUGAAUUAGGAUGUGUUUUAGCUUACCAGAACCUUGUUACCCUCCUGGAAAUGUUAGUUUCCAGGAGACACGGGCACUAUUUUUAUUUUGGUGUUGCUGUGUCCACCAUAGACUGUAUUAUAUGCUUGGUCUGUGACUUGUGGUUCUGUUCUGAGAGAGUCUGGGGAGGUAGGCACAGGGUGAGGCAUGUUGGGAGAUCACUAGGUCCUCAGUGCCCUUUCUCCUUGCUGUUUCAGUUAGCGUCCGCCAAGCUGUGAAGACGCUUUCUCUGUGGUCCUCUGCAAACAGUCUGCUCUGCUCAAGUGCAGGUGGAAAGGUGACUGUGGACUCAACACUCCAAUGCUGAGUCAGAAUAAGCUUUUCUAACUUAACCUUGCUUCUGUUAGGCUUUUUUGGGGAAAAAAUGUGUUUUGAGUGUUUGCCUGUGUGUAUGUCUGUACUGUGCAUGUGCCUAGUGCUUACAGCAGCCUAAGGAGGGCAUUGUACACUACUGGAAGUGGGGUUACAGAUGGUUGUUAGGCACCAUGUGUGUGUCCUGGGAAUUAAAUCUGAGACCUGUGGGAAAGCAGCGAGUGCUCCUAACUGCUGAGCCCCCUGCCUCUAGGCUGGGUAUCUCACCUUAGCCACAGAACCAGUAAUGGAGAUAGCUUUGUUCAAGCUAGUCAGGUGCUCUACCACUGAUCUCACUCCAAGCCCUAAGGCACCAGUGCUGUUUGUGAAUCUAGGCAGGUGAGAAGCUUUGUGGUCACCUUCUCCUGCUCCUAACAAGCUGUCACAUCCUCAGCACCACUGUCGUAUUCAAUAUCCAGCAUCUAGUAGCUACCAUUAAGCUGUUUAAAUGCUCUCUGAUGUUUCUACCAAGACUUUCAUGGCAAACCCCAAUAGUGGGAAGAAAGAAUCAUGGAGACAAACUUGAACUAGAACUCUAUUUCUUCCUUUUCCUGGUUGGGUGUUUAUGUCACGUUCAGCCAUACCUUUAACUUUUUGCCUAUAUUUUCUUUCCUCCUCCCCUCUGUCUCUCUUUGUCUCUGUUUCAUAAGUGAAUGUGAAGGAUUAAAAAUUAAUAAUAAGCCGCCUAGCUACCCAAAAAGAAGAGGUAGGGUCUGUGAGAACAUGAACUUUUCGCCCCUCCCUUGCUGUGCAAUGGUUCCCGGAACAUUCUUGCAUGAAAGGUUUCCUGGAACAGCCACAAUGACCCAUAGCCUCCGGCCACAAUGGUCCAAUGGCCCUGUAAAAUGUCACUACCCCUAAUCACAAUGUCACAAAGGCCUAGAUGUAUGGGCAGUUUAUGGUUUUGGAAUUCCCCUCCUCCCUCCCUCUUGAUCCCCCUGGUUUGUGGUUUUUUCCUUUAUAAGCUCUGUGAAAAUUCAGGUCGGGGUCGAACUCCUCUACUCCCUGUGUGGUGUAUGAGUCUCGACCCCAGCAUGCUGGCCUGAGCUCUCGUUUCAUCUCGCUCACAAUAAAUCUUCCUCGUGUGAUUACAGCAGGUCGGUGUCUGUGUCCUACUGGGUGCGCGUCUUUCCCGAGACUUGAGUGGGGGGCUCCCUUCGGGGGUCUUUCAUUUGGGGGCUCGUCCGGGAUCUGCGCGACCACCCAGGGGUCCUAGACCCACUUGGAGGUAAGAUUCUCUGUUUUAUCUCAGCGCUGUGUCUGGGUCUGUGUCUAUGUUCUGUCUGGGAAUCUGGUGCGAUCGCUGUUUCGGUUUUGCGGACGCUCAGUGAGACCGCGCUCCAGGAAGGAGAGCGGGGUGGAUAGGGAUAGACGUGUCCAGGUACCCACCGUCCGUUCGCCCUGGGAGACGUCCCAGGAGGACAAGGGGGGACCAGGGACGCCUGGUGAACCCCAUCUGAUAGGUCCAGAGGAGACUUUACUCCUUGACGACCGGUUUGUUAGGCAAGGUCUGCGACCUGCCGAUCAGUUUCAGUGCCUCUGGUCGACACGAAGUCGACGUCGGUUUUGUUUUCUUUUUUCUCUUUUGUUUGUGCUCGUGUGUGUGAGUGUGUGUGAAUUAAGUCCUGUAGUCUGUGUUUUUCGGUACCGGUUUAAGGUCUUAGUGCACUGUCUGGGCAGAUGAAGGAUUCCUGCCCUGUGCACGAGAGUCUUAGUGCACUGUCUGGGCAGAAGAAGGUUUCCUGCCCUGUGCACGGGUGGAAGAAGGUUCCCCACCCCGAAAUGGCGCCUGUGAGUAGAUGAAGGAUUCCUACUCCGAAUAGUCUUUUUCUUUCUUUUUUUCCUUUUUAGAAAGCGCACCGGGGGACGCCCCAAUCGCGCAGGCUCUGGGACUCGUGAGAGACAUUCCACGAGUCAGCCUUUGUUGGGUCCUGGCUCUGGGACGCAUGAGAAACGUUCCUCGAGCCGAAUUUUGUCGGGAGGACCCGGCAACGGGCAGUCAAAAAGAUCUGACUGUGACUUUGGAGGUCGAGUUCGGCUGCCUAUUUAAGUAUAGGCACGGACAAGUGUGCUUAGAUGUGUUAGUGUCUGUUGUCUGUAUUCUGUUUCUGUGUUUGGUAUCCCAGAAGCAGCUAAGGUUAAGCUGCAGUUUGGGCUAGGUACUGAAGGUACCAGGCAUCUGUGGAAAUUGGUUAUAGGAUGCUUUGUCUUGGUCUUGUUUGUCUGGAUUGUUUUCUGUGGUAUUGUCCAGUGUUUUUUUGACUUUUGUUUCGUGUUUGAAUUUGGACUGACGACCGUGUUUAAAAUCUUGGACUGACGACUGUGUUUGAAAUCAUGAAACUGUUUGCUUUGUUCGUCGAAGAGUUUUACUUGGUCCCCUUAAUGCUUAGUAAGAAACUUAAUCUUAUGGACCCCGCUCUAGUGGCGGUGUGUUGGUUGAUAGCCAAAGUUAAUUUUUAAAAUAGUGUUUUAUCUGUGCUUGUGCUCGCAGCACACAGUAGAGGGGAGCGAAAUUAGCUGCGGAGCUGCUGCAGCGAGCAUGGGGACUUCUCAAGUCUCACCCAAUUUUUCUGGCUCUUCAGGAGCUGUUUAAAAGGAAAAGGCUUAAGGUAAAAAGAAACACUAUAGAGAGAUUUCUUAGUGAAUUACUACACCUUGGUUCGCGAUCUCUGGGAAUCUCAUGGUGGACAGCUGAGAUAAGCUGGAAAAGGAUUUAAAUUUUGCUUGGGAGCAAAGAAUCUUAAAGGUGGAGUUUCAGCCGGUAUGACACUUAGUGCGUAGCUGCCUAAAAGAUCAGAAAUGCUGUUAAUAGGCUAUAAAAAAAGGGACAGGCUGUGUUAGAAAUGCUACAGAAGAAUAAUCUAAAAAGGCUGAGAGCUAGGUGGGGCUAUAAGGAAAACAAGAACAGGAAAGGAAUUUCUGACAUUUGCUCACAGAAGGAGAGUGCUCAUUUAGAGAAGUUCUUUAAGGAAGCCUGCCUUAUCUGCUGUCUUUAUUCCAAGGGAGGAGUCAGUCUCCAGCACUAAAUUACUUGGAGGUAGCCAAGGUCAGGAUUAAUGUUUUCUUUUCCAUGGGCCUUUAAACCCAGUGAGACAGUUUGGUAAAGGGCUACUACUGAGGUCCUGAUAGCCCCAGGUGAACUGGUUACAAUUCUUUUAUCAGCCCCCUGGCAUCUAGCAACCAAGUUCUAACCAUCUCUCCAUCCUUUUGUUAUUAGUUGUUACUAGAAGCCUAGUGUCAUUUGGAGGCUGGUUCUCUUGAGAGGCAAAGCCAUGGAGCUGACACUGACAAUGGCCUUUUCGUUCCAAGAAAGGCCUCCUGGUUUAGCUGUGUGACUAAAUGCUGUUUGCCCUCUUCGGUAGACUCUAUUCUCAAGAUUCUCUUGUUUUCUCACCAUCCCAUUUGAUAUGCUUGUUAGUAACUGUUACAGGUCUUCUUUACCACCGAUGAAAGACGGAAUCCUACUGGAGACCAGAAAAAAUGUUCCAGACACGGAUAGAAGGCCCUCACUUCUGCCUGCUCUCUUCAGACGCCUGAAGGCUAAAAGACCUACAGGUGAUACAGAAAGAAAUCUGCUCACAGCUGACAGCAGCCUAUGCCCCGGAGACCCCUGAGACAUCCCAUCAGUUCCAGGUUGCAGCUACACUGAGUCCAGACACUCGAGCCUCGCUGGAAAGGACCGUACCUGGUGCUGCUGACCACCCUGACAGCUGUCAAUUCUCAGCCCUCACCAGCCGUGUACUAGCUGUUGGGGCUGAGAGCUGGGACCUAGAGGGAAAUUCAGUCAUGUUUGUCCUGGGUUCUAUCAAGAUAGGUGUGGGAUAGGCUUGAUUUCCAUUACAAAUGAUGUAACAUUGCAUAUGUUAGUACUCUUAACACUUCUUGGGACUGUGCCUCAGGGAUCACAGUCCGUAUAAGCUUAGAAGUUCUAAAAGCUAGUCAUGACCUUGGUGGAUAGGCUUGGAUAGUGUCCAGGUUAGAAUCCUCAUGUUAAGACUACAAUACCAAGCUGUUAUGCUAGAUGAAGCUGAGUUCUCCAUGAAGUUCUAGGAUUAGAACUAUUAACAAAAAAAGAAGAAGUGGGGAAUGAAGAAUUAAAAAUUAAUAAUAAGCCGCCUAGCUACCCAAAAAGAAGAGGUAGGGUCUGUGAGAACAUGAACUUUUCGCCCCUCCCUUGCUGUGCAAUGGUUCCCGGAACAUUCUUGCAUGAAAGGUUUCCUGGAACAGCCACAAUGACCCAUAGCCUCCGGCCACAAUGGUCCAAUGGCCCUGUAAAAUGUCACUACCCCUAAUCACAAUGUCACAAAGGCCUAGAUGUAUGGGCAGUUUAUGGUUUUGGAAUUCCCCUCCUCCCUCCCUCUUGAUCCCCCUGGUUUGUGGUUUUUUCCUUUAUAAGCUCUGUGAAAAUUCAGGUCGGGGUCGAACUCCUCUACUCCCUGUGUGGUGUAUGAGUCUCGACCCCAGCAUGCUGGCCUGAGCUCUCGUUUCAUCUCGCUCACAAUAAAUCUUCCUCGUGUGAUUACA